AGUGCUAGAAAGUCUUACAAUUUAAAACGGAGGAAGUAAUAAUUUUAUCAGGCUCUGAAGUUUAGUUCAUCCCAGAUUACUGUAAUAUAGCAAUUGUUAAGUGGUAUAUUGACUGGAAAUGAAUUCCAGGUUGUGUAAUCUACACCCGUUUACCUAGUUUGUAGGUAGGAUUUCUGUAUGCUCACCAGGACUAGUUAUGUUUUCCCAAUAUCCCUGUCAUGGAACAUUUAUUUUCUUCAUGCUACUGCUUGCGUGGUUUCCUUGAUGUGCAUGUAAAUUUCAAAUGUGAUAUGAUGCUAGAAUGGAGCCGAUUAAUUUGUUAUCUACUGUCAUCCUGUGUCUAAACUCUAAACUAAACAAUUAUUAUGAUUCCGUAGCCAAAGCAGAUUCGUGAGGUCAAGGACUUCUUUCUCACUGUGAGAAGAAGGAUGCUCGUUCAGUGAACAUCAAGAGGAGCAAAGAUGUUUUCAAGUUCAAGGUCGGCUGCUCCAAGUACAUGUACACCCUCUGCACCUUCGAGCUGAGAAGGCAAACAGGUUGAAGCAAUUUAUCCCACCAGGUUUGUAAAAAGUGGCUCUAGUUCUGUUUAGCACUAUCUCAUUUCUGUUUGGGUAUCUGAGUAGUUUGUGCUGGUAUAAAUCUUGCUUACAAUUUUGUUCUUCUUAUUGAUGGGCAUUCUUUCUCUGCAACAUGAUGCUUUGUUCCAAUAUGUUUGUUGUUUAUAAUGCUGGUAUUGCUUAUAUCUGUUGGUUGAUGUCCCAGUGACGAUAAAAUUUUGCUCCAAAGAUGAUUAUUCUCUGGUUUUAGCUUCAAGCCCUCUGUCAUACCAUUUUGACACGGAUGGCUUGUGGCUAAAACCAUUAUCAAGAAUCAUCAAUGAUGGCCAAUAAUAGCUAUGAGAUCUGAGGGACAACCCUACAGUACAACAUAUUCUGGUAUCUCAAUUCUUUGUUAUCCUUGGUUCCUAUUGAACUGGAUGUGUUAUUGGAGAUGUCAACACAUUCUGGUAUCUCAGUUCUUUGUUAUCCUUGGUUUCUCUUGAACUGGAUGUGUUAUUGGAGCUGUCCCCAAGGAAGAUAAAAACUUUGUACCAAAUAUGGAUUUGCAAUUAGUUUUAGCUUCAAGCCAUCCUUCCUAAUUCAUAUGAUGUGUGUGGCUUUUGGUUAAAACUAGGUUACGCUUUUAAGUUCAUCAGUGAUUGGCAAUAGCUAUGAGAUCCGAGGGAUAUGGGUUAUGGUUUUUUCAGACAAAAAAAAAACUAUUAGCAGAUCAAGAAACUAUUUGAGCUGUCAAUUCUGUUUUUUUUUUAAAAAUAGAGAUGUUUUUAAUGAUGUAGAGAUUUUCUUUAUAUAAAUUUCUGCAUCUGAUAAUUUUGUUUUCAUUGAUCCAUGUCUGAGCGUCCAAGAGGUAUAAAGAUACAAAGGCAACAUCUUAAUGAAGUAUCCAAGGUCUUUGGUGCUGAGAAUGCAAACAAGUUGAAGCAAUUUCUCCCACCAGGUUCACAGAAAGUGUCUGGUUUGAGCAUCCAGGAGGUCUGAAGACACAAAGGCAACAUCUUUAGUGUCCAAGUUUCUGUCUGUUAGCAGUUCAUGCAAUGUGUUGAAUCUUUUGGACUCCUAAGCAAAUUAGACCUGCCUGUUCUUGAUCUGUAAUCUCCGCUUUGGAGAAAAGGUGUCUUUUGCCACAGUUCUGUGAUGCAGAUUUUCAGCUUAUUUUAACCCAGCAGAUUUUCAGCUUAUUUUAGAAAUAAACUGCUUUCUGGAUAAGAUUUCUCUCUUACAGUUUACAUUGCACUGAAUGAAGCUUUUUUUUUUGUCAAA